GGGAGCUGUUGCCAAGGCAGGCAGAGAUGCUGCUCAACAGGAAUGUGGCAGAGGAAAGAAGCCAGAGCCAAAACUGGCCAGUCUCAUCAUCCAGGCUGCAGUUACGAUGGAGUUGUCAUUGUCUGCACAUGUGUAUUAAAACUUUAAGAACAGAUACCAGCAACUUGGAAGAAAAUCCUGGAGACAAAACGAAGCACUCUGCUAUAAAAUGCUCUAUCAUCAGUGCUCUUGGUGACACAGAGAGUGACACUGAGAUGCACACAGGCCAUUCUGAAUUAAAAAGUGAUUCAGUCAGAAAGAAAGAUGAGUAGUUGCAGGGGCUGGGGGAGCAGGAGGAGUGGAACAGGGAGUGACUGCUAAUAGAUACAGGGUUUCUUUGGGGAGUGAUAGAAAUGUUCUGGAAUAUUCCCUUGAAGGAUUUUAAUUUAAAAAGAAAUCAAGAGAAAUGUUCUAGAAUAGAUAGUGGUGGGUUGUACAACUUUGUGAAUGCACUAAAAACACUGAAUUAUACACUUCAAAGGGAUGUAUUUUAUGGUGUGUGAAUUAUAUCUUAGUUUUCAAAAAGUGAUUCAGAACAUGGGGAAAAGCUUGAUAAUGAGCACAUGAGAACUCUACACUUACUGUGCA
rnacentral:lncRNA from 10 species